rnacentral:lncRNA from 1 species
AUUUGUGGUGUGCUUACUUGUUCUCUAUCUUAUUUUCUUUUUCUUCUUGCACUCUUGCAUCUAAUAUCUUCACUUUGCUUAAAUCACUCACUUCAACUAACUUGCCUUUUAUUACUUAAUCUUUGUGGUUCUAGAUUAAUUUUAAAUUUUUAAAAAUCCAAUUCACCCCCCCCCCCUCUUGGGUUGCAUAGCUGGGCAACACCCUCAAUUCAAGUGUAAACUCAUAGUUUGAUUCAUCAAAAUAUUUCAUUAAAUGGUAAUUAUUCAACAUUCAAUUUAAAUCUAAUUUAGAGAUUAAAAUCCUUACCUCAAAUGAUUAAAAUCCUUCUGAAA